CAACCUUGAUUUUUCUGUGCUCCUCUUUGUGCCUUUGUACCUGCGCUGAAUAUUUAUAUAACGAACUGGGAGAGAGGAUGAGAGCAGCUGCAUUAGAUAGCGAGAGUGUUAAAAAGAUGCUGCAGGUGAAGGGAGAGGACUGGUUCAGCCGUUUAUCACAACUGUUAUUGGAGUUAUAUAGAGCGUCAACCUUCUGCGGCACAGCGGGGUUUGAGGCUGUCAAAACUCUGCAGUAAAGGGAGAACAUUUGGUACAUUUUGCAGAGACAUCCCAUGGCGCCUGAUGAGUCUCAUAAGGAAUCUGCUGCAGACUGAGAAACACAGAAACAUUUGCUCAAAGAUGGAUCUGGAUCAAUCUUGGCCUGCACUUGAUGUUAGCGGAAGUAUUAACCUAGUCAUGCAACACAUAUUUCAUACUUAGGCAAAUUCAAUAUGGCUCUAUGUGGGAUGAAUGCCCAAACAAAUUGCACUGAAAAUAAUGUAUCAAAUAACAGGCCAAAUUCAAUUUUACACACAUUCCCUGGAGACAUGUUUGGAGAAGUUGCCUGCCAACCCUCAAUGCGAAUGCACGCUAAGAGUGAGAAGGAAUGCAUCAACAAUCGCUGAUUGUUUUCCUGCCGAAAAUAGAAAAUUUUAAUUUUUAAGACUGCCAGCAUCUUUUGGUUUGCCUGGAUCUGCCUAACAAUGCCUGCUCACAAUGAUUUUCUAUCUUUAAAUGAUCAUUUUCCAAUAGACAUCAGACACGCUAAAGUUAAGUGCUGCUAUGCUAUCAAGAUGCCUUUAUUAGUUUGUUAAUCCCAAGCACAGCAAUCUUGGAAGCAGGAUUACCUCCUGCCCAACUGCAUAACACUAUGUUUUUGGAACAAAUUAGAUUUAAUAUCUGCUGGGAAAUUCUCAAUGGUGCUCACAUUGCAAGAAAUGUGUGUAUGCACUGUUUCCAGAUAAAGCUAUUUUUUAUUACAAAUCAACUUAAAGUACCUGAGAUUUUACAGAAAACCCAUGUUACCUGCUGUAUGUCCUCGCCCAUUCUUCCAUCCUGCAUAAGUCAGGCGUGUGUCAGUAAACUGUGAAAUAAAACUUCACACUCCCUGUAGCCAGAGGUUUCAGUGAGAUGCCAAAGUUCUUUAUUUCUUUUGGAAACUGAAAGCCUUUAGGGCAGAAUCUGCCAGAAAAAUGUUUAAUAAGUGUGAACCUGCAAAAGACAUGUGGAUGUUGAUGUUAAGCACCAGAAUGGUGCAGCUCUGCAGCAACAGAAAUUGCAAGUAAUAUUUAGUGUGGCAUUCAGUUUAUGACUCUGCAAUCAACAUACUUAAGAGGUUUUAGGAAAUGUCAUAGAGAUGUUUGGAAAUUUUGUAUGUAAUCCUUCUGAAAUGCUGUCAAGAAACCGCAAAGGUGCUACAGUAUGUUAAUUUUGACAAACAAAAGCAUCUAAAAUGAUGUUAUGACUCACUGCAGUUUUAUCAAUCAAUCAAUCAAUCAAUCAGUCAAUCAAUUUUUAUUUAUAGAGCACUUUUCACACACAAUGAGGGGAAUGCAAAGUGCUUUACUUAAGACAAAAACAGGAGGUGACGGAAAAAGGCAAAAAACACCACAAAAAAAGCGAAAAAAUAAUAAGCUAAAUUUACAAAAAUGUGCAGUUAACCUAGGAAGAACUGAGGAAAAGCACUUGUGUUGAUGAUAGAAAGCCACUAGAGGAAGAGACUCUAAAGAACAUUGUUUCUAGAAACAAAGUAUAACAAUAUUAGUUUUCAUAAUAAUAAAUAAAAACUAAGUAAAUAAUAAAAAUAAAAAGAUAAAAUAAAAUACAAAUAAACUAAAAUCUGUAAUUAGGUUAAACACUAAUUAAUGAUGAGAGUGAAACAAAAUAGUUUGUAGGAUAGCUGCACAAUAUAUGACAUCACAGUUAUUAUUGCAAUAUCAAUGUGCGUAAUAUCGCAAUGGCAAAGGACACAUUGGACACAAUAUUAGAUAAAAUAUUAUAUUUUAAGAUCCAAUAUAUUUGGCCUGUUAAAUAGACUUACCUGCCCUUGAAGGCCACACAUGAUUUAUAUUUUUUAGAUGCCAAAACUCACAUAGCUGUGGGGGAGUUGUGGGAAGACGGAGAUGAAGAAAAAAAGAGAAAGAAUGAGUGAAGCAUGGUUUUACUGAUAUUAUAAUCAGCAAUAGAACAGUUAUUUUUUCCUAAUAUUGUGCAGUCCUAAACUAUAACAUGAUUGAAAUCCAACAUAAAGCCCAACUCAAAGUGUAAUUUAACUACAGAUAUAACCAGGUGAAUACUUAAGCUAUUUAUAUUAUAUUUAUUUAUACAUAUAAUUGGUUUUAGUUGCAUUUUAACGUUUCUGUUUAUGUGAUGCUUACAUUAUUUCUAGUCUUACUACUAUCUUUUGUGUGUG